rnacentral:lncRNA from 1 species
AUAUGAGUGAUGCUGAGGAAGGCAAGAAGAUUUUUGUUUAGAAGUGUCCCCAGUGUCACACCAUGGAAAAGAGGGGCAAGCACAAGACUGGGCCAUAUCUCCAUGAUUUCUGGGCAGAAGACAGGUCAGGCUGCUGCGUUCUCUUAUACAGAUGCCAGCAAAAACAAAGACAUCAGCUGGGGAGAGGAGACACUGAUGUAGUAUUUGGAGAAUCCAAAGAAGUACAUCUCUGGAACAAAAAUGAUCUUCUCUGGCAUUUAGAAAAAGACAGAAAGAGUAGACUUGAUAGCUUAUCUCAAAAAAGUU